GUCUUCUUUUUUUGGCCUGCCUCUUCUUUUAAAUUGUUUCUUCUUCUUUCCCCCUCCCCGCUUUGACUUUUAGCCCUGGGCUAGUGCACACAUGGUGAGUGCACACAUGCAGACACAUGCACAAACAGCAACAAAACAGAGCUGCACACCCACAUUUACUGCUCUUCUGCAUUUUCUGUUGAUUCCUGCACUCACUUUUUCAGCUGUCUAAGUCAGGACCAAGACGUCCCAUCUGCAGAUAGGUGUUCAGAGGACAGGGACAGGACACACAGCAGCACCAUAGACAUGUCAGACUCAGAGACCACCACUGCCCCCGCCGAGGCCCCCGUCCCCGCUGCAUGUGCCAACAUAAAGGCUAACCUGGAUAAAUGAUGUGAAGAACAGUUGGUCAUCACAACACUUAGAGUGACAGUGAGCAUUGCAGGGAGAUCUUACAGCCAUUGGUCCAGUCGUGUAUUUUCAAGAUCUCAACAUUCCUACAUGAAGGGAUAUUAUUUUUAUUAUUAUUAUUAUUAUUAUUAUUAUUAUAAGAUACAAGAAUCCUGAGCAAUCAAGUGAUUAUUUGAAUCAUCUGUGAUGUGCUUUAAUUAUACCCAAUGAGCUGCCCAAUGGCUGCAACCAUCCAAACUUAGAACAAAAAGUGCUCUAGCCUAUGAGUUGAUAUAACCUUGCAUAGGUCUAACAGAGACAGCAGCAUCCUAAAGUGCGCCAUGCUAAAAUGGAGUCUUUUCAGAGGAGGCUGUGGUUAGCAAUGAAAACUGCCAGCAGAGAAUGAAGUUGAAAUGUGACUGAAUUCGACAUCUAGGCAGGGAGCGAGGGGUGGGGGGUUAUGAAAACUUGGGGUUCCCUGUGUGGUGAAGAGAGAUUUGGAGCUUAAUGAUGUGUGGCAGGAGGUAAAUGCUGGAUGCUGAUCCGUAUGCAUGGAUGAAGACUGGGAAUCUGCUUGCGUCACUAGCCUU
rnacentral:lncRNA from 1 species